UAACGCUAGCAGCACUCCUGGUCUUGGGAGCCCCCACCAACAGCUUUAGGAAAAGUCUGCUCGGUAGAGAGUUAUUAUCCCUGCCUCAUAGGUGAGGAAACCAAGGCUCAAAAGAGGAAAGCCCCUGAAUGGACACCAUGACCUCAUCUCCAUCCCCCCUCCGUCUCAGCCACAUCAACUCUUUCCCUCUUCAGAGACUUCGUACUGCCUUGCCUUCUCCUUGGAACUCUUCUUUUCUCUCUUCAAAUGUCUUGUUCCAUGACCUCCCUACUUACAAGAGAGCUCCAGGUUAUUCUACAUGCUACUUCUUUUUUCCCUCAGAAUAUGUAUCGUAUGUAUUACUACUCUUUUGUUUUCUAGGCUAUGAUUUCAGUGAAGGUAGAAACUAUGUUUAUCUUCUGUAGUUAACGCCCCAUGCACUUAAGUGCUAAGUAGGUGUUUAUUAAAUAACCAUAUUGUAUCA